AGCGAACGCUGGCGGCAGGCUUAACACAUGCAAGUCGAACGCCCCCUUCGGGGGUAGUGGCGGACGGGUGCGUAACGCGGGGGAAUAUACCUUUUGGUUCGGAAUAAGUGAGGGAAACUUGUGCUAAUACCGGAUACGCGCGAGAGGGGAAAGAUUUAUCGCUAAAAGAUUAGCCCGCGUCUGAUUAGCUAGUUGGUGAGGUAAUGGCUUACCAAGGCGACGAUCAGUAGCUGGUCUAAGAGGAUGAUCAGCCACACUGGGACUGAGACACGGCCCAGACUCCUACGGGAGGCAGCAGUGGGGAAUAUUGGACAAUGGGCGCAAGCCUGAUCCAGCCAUGCCGCGUGAGUGAAGAAGGCCUUAGGGUUGUAAAGCUCUUUUGUGUGGGAAGAUAAUGACUGUACCACAAGAAUAAGCCCCGGCUAACUUCGUGCCAGCAGCCGCGGUAA
rnacentral:rRNA from 1 species